rnacentral:rRNA from 1 species
CUACGGGCGGCAGCAGUGGGGAAUAUUGCACAAUGGGGGAAACCCUGAUGCAGCGACGCCGCGUGAAGGAUGAAGGAUUUCGGUUCGUAAACUUCUAUCAGCAGGGAAGAUAGUGACUGUACCUGACUAAGAAGCCCCGGCUAACUACGUGCCAGCAGCCGCGGUAAUACGUAGGGGGCAAGCGUUAUCCGGAAUUACUGGGUAUAAAGGGUGCGUAGGCGGUUCUUUAAGUCAGAUGUGAAAGCCCGGGGCUCAACCUCGGGACUGCAUUUGAAACUGGAGAACUAGAAUACAGGAGAGGUAAGUGGAAUUCCUAGUGUAGCGGUGAAAUGCGUAGAUAUUAGGAGGAACACCAGUGGCGAAGGCGACUUACUGGACUGUUAUUGACGCUGAGGCACGAAAGCGUGGGGAGCGAACAGGAUUAGAUACCCCCGUAGUC